ensembl:snRNA U6 U6 spliceosomal RNA
GUGCUCACUUCGGCAGCACAUAUACUAAAAUUGGAAUGAUACAGAGAAGAUUAGCAUGGCCCCUGCACAAGGAUGACGCACAAAUUUAUGAAGCGAUUCAUAUUUAA